rnacentral:rRNA from 1 species
UACGGGGGGGGCAAGCGUUGUUCGGAAUUACUGGGCGUAAAGGGUUUGUAGGUGGCUUGCUAAGUCAGACGUGAAAUCCCUCAGCUUAACUGGGGAACUGCGUCUGAUACUGGCGAGCUUGAGUGCAGGAGAGGAGCGCGGAAUUCCAGGUGUAGCGGUGAAAUGCGUAGAUAUCUGGAGGAACACCGGUGGCGAAGGCGGCGUUCUGGACUGUAACUGACACUGAGAAACGAAAGCCAGGGCAGCAAACGGG